GUCGAGCGGCGGACGGGUGAGUAACGCGUGGGAACGUGCCCUUCUCUGCGGAAUAGCCUCUGGAAACGGAGAGUAAUACCUUAUACGCCCUUCGGGGGAAAGAUUUAUCGGUGAAGGAUUGGCCCGCGUCUGAUUAGAUAGUUGGUGGGGUAAUGGCCUACCAAGUCUACGAUCUAUAGCUGGUUUUAGAGGAUGAUCAGCCACACUGGGACUGAGACACGGCCCAGACUCCUACGGGAGGCAGCAGUGGGGAAUCUUGGACAAUGGGCGCAAGCCUGAUCUAGCCAUGCCGCGUGAGUGAUGAAGGCCUUAGGGUCGUAAAGCUCUUUCGCCAGGGAUGAUAAUGACAGUAUCUGGUAAAGAAACCCCGGCUAACUCCGUGCCAGCAGCCGCGGUAAUACGGAGGGGGUUAGCGUUGUUCGGAAUUACUGGGCGUAAAGCGCGCGUAGGCGGAUCAGUCAGUUGGAGGUGAAAUCCCGGGGCUCAACCCCGGAACUGCCUCCAAAACUGCUGGUCUUGAGUUCGAGAGAGGUGAGUGGAAUUCCGAGUGUAGAGGUGAAAUUCGUAGAUAUUCGGAGGAACACCAGUGGCGAAGGCGGCUCACUGGCUCGAUACUGACGCUGAGGUGCGAAAGUGUGGGGAGCAAACAGGAUUAGAUACCCUGGUAGUCCACACCGUAAACGAUGAAUGCCAGUCGUCGGGUAGCAUGCUGCUCGGUGACACACCUAACGGAUUAAGCAUUCCGCCUGGGGAGUACGGUCGCAAGAUUAAA
rnacentral:rRNA from 1 species